rnacentral:rRNA from 1 species
UACGUAGGUCGCAAGCGUUGUCCGGAUUUACUGGGCGUAAAGAGCGCGCAGGCGGCUGGUCAAGUCCGAUGUGAAAUCUCCCGGCUCAACUGGGAAACUGCAUCGGAAACUGAUCGGCUUGAAGGUGGGAGAGGGUAGUGGAAUUCCCGGUGUAGUGGUGAAAUGCGUAGAUAUGUGGAGGAACACCAGUGGCGAAGGCGACUCUCUGGGCUGUAACUGACGCUGAGGCGCGAAAGCGUGGGUAGCAAACAGG